AGAGUCUCCAGCAGUCUACCACAAUCAAGAAAUUGGUUUCCCCAGUAUGAUGCUCUUCCAUUUCACUCUUCAGUUGGGUUGACCCCAGUGACUUCCCCAAAUGCGGGCAACUCAACUGCAUAAUUUAUGGUAGUGGGGGAAUGCAUUCACACAAUACCUUC